rnacentral:rRNA from 1 species
GACGAACGCUGGCGGCGUGCCUAAUACAUGCAAGUUGAGCGCUGAAGGUUGGUACUUGUACCGACUGGAUGAGCAGCGAACGGGUGAGUAGCGCGUGGGGAAUCUGCCUUUGAGCGGGGGACAACAUUUGGAAACGAAUGCUAAUACCGCAUAAAAACUUUAAACACAAGUUUUAAGUUUGAAAGAUGCAAUUGCAUCACUCAAAGAUGAUCCCGCGUUGUAUUAGCUAGUUGGUGAGGUAAAGGCUCACCAAGGCGAUGAUACAUAGCCGACCUGAGAGGGUGAUCGGCCACAGUGGGACUGAGACACGGCCCAAACUCCUACGGGAGGCAGCAGUAGGGAAUCUUCGGCAAUGGACGAAAGUCUGACCGAGCAACGCCGCGUGAGUGAAGAAGGUUUUCGGAUCGUAAAACUCUGUUGGUAGAGAAGAACGUUGGUGAGAGUGGAAAGCUCAUCAAGUGACGGUAACUACCCAGAAAGGGACGGCUAACUACGUG